rnacentral:rRNA from 1 species
UAACGCGUAGGUAACCUGCCUUGUAGCGGGGGAUAACUAUUGGAAACGAUGGCUAAUACCGCAUAACAAUGGAUGACACAUGUCAUUUAUUUGAAAGGGGCAAUUGCUCCACUACAAGAUGGACCUGCGUUGUAUUAGCUAGUAGGUGAGGUAACGGCUCACCUAGGCGACGAUACAUAGCCGACCUGAGAGGGUGAUCGGCCACACUGGGACUGAGACACGGCCCAGACUCCUACGGGAGGCAGCAGUAGGGAAUCUUAGGCAAUGGGGGCAACCCUGACCGAGCAACGCCGCGUGAGUGAAGAAGGUUUUCGGAUCGUAAAGCUCUGUUGUAAGUCAAGAACGAGUGUGAGAGUGGAAAGUUCACACUGUGACGGUAGCUUACCAGAAAGGGACGGCUAACUACGUGCCAGCAGCCGCGGUAAUACGUAGGUCCCGAGCGUUGUCCGGAUUUAUUGGGCGUAAAGCGAGCGCAGGCGGUUUGAUAAGUCUGAAGUUAAAGGCUGUGGCUCAACCAUAGUUCGCUUUGGAAACUGUCAAACUUGAGUGCAGAAGGGGAGAGUGGAAUUCCAUGUGUAGCGGUGAAAUGCGUAGAUAUAUGGAGGAACACCGGUGGCGAAAGCGGCUCUCUGGUCUGUAACUGACGCUGAGGCUCGAAAGCGUGGGGAGCGAACAGGAUUAGAUACCCUGGUAGUCCGCGCCGUAAACGAUGAGUGCUAGGUGU